rnacentral:rRNA from 1 species
GAUGAACGCUGGCGGCGUGCUUAACACAUGCAAGUCGAACGAGGCACUUUACAACGAUCCCUUCGGGGUGACAAUUUAGUGACUGAGUGGCGGACGGGUGAGUAACGCGUGGGUAACCUGCCUUAUACUGGGGGAUAACAGUUGGAAACGACUGCUAAUACCGCAUAAGCGCACGAGGUCGCAUGACCUUGUGUGAAAAACUCCGGUGGUAUAAGAUGGACCCGCGUCUGAUUAGCUAGUUGGUGAGGUAAUGGCUCACCAAGGCGACGAUCAGUAGCCGACCUGAGAGGGUGACCGGCCACAUUGGGACUGAGACACGGCCCAAACUCCUACGGGAGGCAGCAGUGGGGAAUAUUGCACAAUGGGCGAAAGCCUGAUGCAGCGACGCCGCGUGAGCGAAGAAGUAUUUCGGUAUGUAAAGCUCUAUCAGCAGGGAAGAAAAAAUGACGGUACCUGACUAAGAAGCUCCGGCUAAAUACGUGCCAGCAGCCG